CCCUUCGGGGACAGAGUGACAGGUGGUGCAUGGUUGUCGUCAGCUCGUGUCGUGAGAUGUUGGGUUAAGUCCCGCAACGAGCGCAACCCUUGAUCUUAGUUGCCAGCAUUCAGUUGGGCACUCUAAGGUGACUGCCGGUGACAAACCGGAGGAAGGUGGGGAUGACGUCAAAUCAUCAUGCCCCUUAUGACCUGGGCUACACACGUGCUACAAUGGACAGAACAAAGGGCUGCAAGACCGCAAGGUUUAGCCAAUCCCAUAAAUCUGUUCUCAGUUCGGAUCGCAGUCUGCAACUCGACUGCGUGAAGCUGGAAUCGCUAGUAAUCGCGGAUCAGCAUGCCGCGGUGAAUACGUUCCCGGGCCUUGUACACACCGCCCGUCACACCACGAGAGUUUGCAACACCCGAAGUCGGUGAGGUAACCUUUAUGGAGCCAGCCGCCGAA
rnacentral:rRNA from 1 species